GAUGAACGCUGGCGGCGUGCUUAACACAUGCAAGUCGAACGCUGAAGGCGGAGCUUGCUCUGCUGGAUCAGUUGCGAACGGGUGAGUAACACGUGAGUAAUCUGCCUCGGACCGUGGGAUAAGUGUUGGAAACGGUGUCUAAUACCGCAUAAGAGUAGCGAUUGCAUCAUAUGUACUUAGAAAGUACAUUGGUAAGGCAUGCGCAGGCGGCUUAGCAGCAUGUUGGUGAGGUAAGGGUACAGCAAGGCGUCGACGAGUAGCCAGCCUGAGAGGGUGACCGGGCCCACUGGGACAGAGACACGGCCCGGAGUCCUACGGGAGGCAGCGGUGGGGGAUAGUGCACGAUGGGCGAAGGCCUGAUGCAGCAACGCCGCAUGGGGGAGGACGGCCUUAAGGUUGUAAACCUCGUUUAGCAGGGAAGAAGCGAAAGUGACGGUACCUGCAGAAAAAGCGCCGGCUAACUACGUG
rnacentral:rRNA from 1 species